UAAUUGAAGCUUGCACCAUUGUUUUUUUUUUUUUUUGUUUUGUUUGGUGUAUAGAUUUAUUAACCGACUCAUUAGCUCCUUAGUAAUCACACGUAAUUGUUUAGUACCUAUGUACAGUGUGUGUUGCUAUUACAUGUCAACACUGACUUUCAAUCUGUAUUAAUAAAAACAAUGCAAGAGUCUCCUGUUUCUAAUCCUUCCAUUUGGAAAAUGUGAGAAGCACUGCUGGGAAUGGCUAAUGUCUAGGUGUGGCUUCUUUCUUUUCUUUCUCGUUUCUUGACAUACCUCAGUUGAACCUGUCAUUGACAUGUCUAAUAUAGCCUUUAUAUGUACCGGUAUAUCCAUGUCAAAUGUCUAAAGCUGCAUGCUUCUAAGUUUUUUUUGUUUUUUUUAUUGGGGUUGACACAAAUAAUUGGGAUCUGGGUGUAAACACACUACCCUAAAGAAAAAAGAAUUAAAUUUUGGGGCUGGGGAUUGCUUUUUGACUUUGGAAUUGAUAUUUUUGUUUAUGAAAAUUUCUUAGUCCCUGCUAAAGUAUUGUGAUGGUUUGAUGAACUAUUCAGGGUCUUUCAGUACACCGUGGGUUCCUCUGGAUGCUGUGAUAACAAAGAGGUUGGUGAGGACAUGCACACUCUUAAUUCCACUCAGAAGUUUUUUUUGUAUUAUUUGUUUUGCUUUUAGUGUAACAUUUUUUUUUUGUGACCAGUAAAGUACUUCAGUUUUGGAAACAUCUUGAUGACUAGUGUAUUCAUGUCAAAAAAUUGUCCUUUUUUUGGUUAAAAGUUGAGUCAAUUUUUUUUUUCUUUUUUUUUUCUUUUUAGUUUUUAAUGUCUUCAUCAAAGCUAAUGAGUAACCAGCUCAUUUAAUUGUAAAAAGCCAGGCCACUUAAUAACUGGGUUUGUCUUGAAGGGUGAUGACCAAUGUGAUACUGUAUUAUAAAACCUAAUCUGACCCUCCUGACAUUCCUGUGUAUUUGAAGUGGUCUUUUUUCUUCAGUUGCAAUAUGUCGUUAGAUGUACGUCUUUUAUAUAUACAUAUACCUCGUCAGUUUUUUAUGUGUGUGUGUAAGACAGAAUGAAUGUAUGAAAUGGUUAAAUGGGGGGUCUAAUCAAACCCUUCAAUUUUUUAAAUGUAUAAUAUUGUGAAUGAAUUGGAAAAGCCUUAUUGUACCAUUUGUAUAUAAAUCUUUAAUAAAGUAAAAAAAAUGUUUUUGUGUUUUGUUUUGUUUCUAAAUACAAUGUCCUGUUUGAAUUACUGAUUUUAUAAUAAAGAUCAAAUAAA